GAUAGAAAUUUUGCAAGUAUACAAAAUAAUCGCUAGUAGUAAAAAUUAUCGAUCCUCAGGGAUUGAGAUUAAUAUAAAGCAAAACAAUUAAACUAUUACUUGAUGAAAUUAAAAUACAUUUGGGGGGUUUGCACUGCAAGUUGUUUGACAAUUUGAAAGUAAAAAUAUUGAAUUCAACAAUUAAAAAAAAGAUUGGGUUUGUUUCGAAUCCCUCAUAUUUCACUAUGGAU
rnacentral:lncRNA from 1 species